UGCAAAUUUUACACGGGCAACAAAAACAACAAAAAUCUGCCCUCAACCAGUCAUUUGUUUUCGCCCAAGACCCCAAUCCCACCACGAAUUCCAUUUCCCCUUUCCUCCAUGGACACAGACAAGGGCCUGCCCGUAAUUUGCCCGUUCCUUUCCCUUCCAAGGCUGCCACUCCUCUGUAAUAACGACAACCUCCCUUCCCCCUUUGCUCCACCCACGGCACCACCACCUCCUUCCUUCUCGGGAUUGUUGCGUGCUGCUGCUCGGCUUCACUCCAUCCACCCACUCCCCACCUUCUUCCUCCCCCUCCAUCCAUCCCCACAAUCGCAUUGCGGAAGAAACCCUCUUCGGACCAAAACCGCGGCCGCGGCUCCUUUGAUCACGACGAAGGGCUUCAUUUUCUGUUCUUGGAGUGCUGAUGCCAUAUCCUAUUAGUGCUAUGCUAAAUAAUCUUCUUCUGCAUGGACCAGUUGCUGGCACAAGGAUGGCAUGCAAAAGUGACCUGACUGGCCAGCUGCAGGAUGAUGGCAGUGGCCACAUGAAUGUUGUUGCUGCUGAAUAUGAGGAAGGCAGUGAAGAAGAAGAAGAAGAGCCAUAUGAACGUGAAUUCUAUGAUGAUGACGAUGGGGAUGACGAUGAGCCAGAAACAGAAGUUGUGGAUCCUUGUGAUGAUACUUUGCCAGAAGGGGAGAAGGCUAAUGGAGAGGAACCCUGCGAUGGCGCCACUCCACCUGAAGAAGAGGAUGCCAGUGAGGAGGAACCUUUUGAUUUAGAAUUCUGUGAUGAGGACGAAGACGGUGGUGAGCAGGACUCAUUCCAUGCAGAGCCUUUCACCGAUAAGGCGGACAGUGCUCGCCAUACUUACAGGAAGCGGCUCUAUGACGUGGAUCGAUGUGAUGAUCUGUUGGCCCGUGAGGAGUUAUGUGCUAAGAAGAGGUUCAGUGCCGGUGCUGUGCAGGCUGUCAAAAAGGAACAAAAUAAGCAAGAGGUCCUGAAACGGGCGCUGAGAAAGGGCUGCAGCAAUGAUCAUAAGGUACUACCAGCAACUGAUGAAAUGGAAAUGAAACCGUUCAAGAAACGAUUGUCUGUCAGGUUUGCUACCGAUGUAUCUUGUUACACAUACAACACUGAAAGUUUUGGUGCUGGCAAGUUGGAGAAAAGGAAAGCUCAGUUUGAUGAUCAGGACAAGCACCUGGGUAAGAGGCAAGAACAUACACUGCCUUUGUCUCAGGAGGGUGGCAAGCUGAAGGAAGUGGAUAACACUAAUCUGUAUGUGGGUAACCUACCAGCUUCUGUGGGUUCUCACAAGCUUAUCGAGCUAUUUCUACCUUUCGGGCGAAUAGUUAGAUCAAAAGUUGCGGAUGAAUGUUUCACUGGUUUAAGCAAGGGAUAUGGCUUUGUGAAGUAUGAUGAUCCUCACAGUGCCACAGCAGCUAUUAAUCGCAUGAAUGGGCGCCUGGUUGAUGGAAAAAUAUUAGAGGUUAGAGUUGCUGGUGUUCCACCAUCAGGAUCCAAUCCAUCUAUUCAAUCUGUGUCAGAAACUUAUAGUCAGCCCUCAGAGGAAAUUGACAUGUCUAGCUUAUAUGUCCGCAACUUGUCCUUAUCCAUGACCAAAGAAGAGCUACUCCAGCAUUUUCUCCCUUUUGGGAAAAUAAUUGAUGCAAAGGUGCCCAGAGAUUAUGCCACAGGUUUAAACAAAGGAUAUGGUUUUGUGAGGUAUUCUAAUUCUCAUGAGGCAGCUAAUGCCAUUAUCCAUUUGAAUGGACAUCUGGUUGAGGGUAAAAAGAUGGAGGUUCGAGUAUCUGGUGUAUCUCCAGCACUAUCAAAUUCUGCUGUGGAAUCACAUACUGAUGCAAGACUCAUCAAGGAAAUCGACAUGGCUAAUCUGUAUGUCUGCAACAUUCCUACAUCCAUUGACACCAAGAAGCUGAUUGAGAUUUUCUUGCCAUUUGGUAAGAUCACCCAUGCGAGAGUGGCAGCACACCAAGGCACUUAUUCAGGUAAAGGCAGAUAUGGCUUCGUCAAAUUUGCAGAUUCUCAGUGUGCGGCUGAGGCAAUUACGUUAAUGGAUGGGGCACUGGUUGAAGGGGAAACGUUAGUUGUCAGAGUCGCUGGCCUUUCAUCAUCAGCAUCCAGCCCAGCUGUACAUGGCUUGCCGAUUCCCUCACCAGAAAUCAACAAAUCCAGAAUCUACAUCACUAACCUCCCACGGUCCACGAAUGCUGAUAUGAUGGUUAAGCUUUUCGUGCCCUUUGGUCAGAUCAGCAAAGUCGUGAUGAAUCUGGAGUAUAGCCUAGUGUACUAUGCAGAUGUAGCCUCAGCAGUUAAGGCUAUCAAACACAUGGAUGGGUACAUGAUUGGUGGAAAGAGGCUAGUAGUCAGGAGAUCAGACUCUUGUCCAACCGACGCUGCAGGGCAUACUUCAACACAGUCACUUGGCAAGGAGGUGAAAGAAAUCGACAUGGCCAAUGUGUUUGUUGGCAGAAUCCCGUCGACCGUAAACGGUGAUCAGUUGGUCGAGCUUUUCCGCCCAUUUGGACAAAUUGUGCAAGUCAGGGUGUUUCAGCAUCAAGGUUAUGGCAUGUUUAGGUUCAACGAUCCUUUUUCUGCUGCAGCAGCAAUUGAUCAUAUGAAUGGUUACCAGAUUGGAGGAAGUGCCCUGGUUGUGAGAGUAGCAGGGCUUCCUAACCCUGGGGAUUUCAGUGCAGCAACAGAUGAUUUAAAGCUACAGAUGCCUGGCAAUGAGGGGAGACAAAUUGACAUGGCCAACCUAUAUGUGUGCCAUCUCCCACUCUAUAUUACCACUGAAAAGCUGAUUGAAAUCUUUCUACCAUGCGGCCAAAUCACUCAAGCAAGGGUAGUUACUGAUCGCUACACUGGUAUUAGCAAGGGAUUCGGAUUUGUCAGAUUUGCUGAUACUUACUCUGCUGCUGUGGCUCUCACUCACAUGAAUGGUUACCCACUGGAGGGGCACAUCUUGGAGGUUAGAAUAGCUGGUGUUCAUCCGAGUGAUAUGGGCAGCUACAUGACACAGCUCUACUCCCAGUUCACAUACCCUGACCCCUCGACGAUGGUGGUUGGAAUACCAACAUCGUAUUGGCCAUACUAUGGUGCCGAGUCAGUAUACUCUAUGUCAGCUGAGAACCAGGGUCAGGGCACUGCAUCUGCGACUGAUGCUGCUUCUCAAACAUCUCAGCAGGAAGGCUUGCCUGAAUCUGUAUCAGCCAGUUCAAUUGCUGAUAAAGACUGCCCUUCUAUGCCGAGCCAUGCCGCCGACAGUUCUCGGCCACAGUCUUCAGCAGGUUGGGCUGGUCCACCUGGCUUCGAGUCGCAUGCCGUCUGUUCUCAGCCACCGUCAGUAGGUUGGGCUGGUCCGCCCGGCUUCGAGCCCCAUGCCAUCCCCAAGAAAGAGCCAGGCACUGCUAUGAAUCCUUCCCAACCUUGCUCCAAGGUUCAUUUCGCACAGUCAGAAGGUGGCCAGAAAAGGCGUUCAAUUGUCUAGCGCCAUGACUACUUCAAGCCUACAUGCAAUAGAUUGACGUGUCAGUAAAUCUGGUAUUUCUUUUGGAGGAAAAAAAGAGCAUAUGCCAACAUCAUUUGCUUUAGUUGAGUAGUAAAUUAGUAGUAGGUUUGGGUAGUUAAUUAGGGCGAGCUGUCUGGUGAAUGGAGAAAAAUGUCGAUUCAAUUGUAUUGUUAACCCUGCAUACGGCAUGUUUGCACGGGUAUUCAUGACGCCAGCUGAUGAUCACUUCAGUCAUCAUCUAUGUCAUAUUUUUAGCACAAGUUGAUGGCACUUGAACUGAAGCUUCCAAAUGCUCAUGGAAUGGUUUCUUGUUGGUAUGCUACUGCAUCUGCAACUGAUGCCUCUGCUUCAAAUAAGGUGUCAUGCACAUGAAGAACUACUUGUGAUUUUGGUCUUCUCUGGCUAGUUUGUUUUCUCAAGUGAAACCAAACUACUGUGGUGGAUAAAACCCAGUUUUUCUUAGUAACAACCCGGUUAUCUGCCAAGGAGUAAAAAACCUGGUUAUCUGCAACGGUUCUUCUUCUUGAGUUUAUCGUGCUCACACGGGCCGAUAAAUAAAGAAUUUGAGCUCAUCAGCAAGGUCAGCUCCAUUCUUCUACAUAUGUUCCUUUCAUUCUUUCAAGAACGUACG